GUGAAUCAUCGAAUCUUUGAACGCAAAUUGCACUCUCUGGUAUUCCGGAGAGUAUGCCUGUUUGAGGGUCAGUUUAAAUAAAAAUCGGUGUGGUUGCUGCCUUUCGUGGUGACGCACCGGAUUUGGGUCGUCUUGCCUUCGGUUAAGUGACCUAAAAUUUUGCAUGGUUUUUUUGGAAGGUAUUUAAGUAAUUUUAGUUCGUUUUCGGUUUCCAAUU
rnacentral:misc_RNA from 1 species